AUUGAACGCUGGCGGCAGGCCCAACACAUGCCAGUCGAGCGGAUGAAGGGAGCUUGCUCCUGGAUUCAGCGGCGGACGGGUGAGUAAUGCCUAGGAAUCUGCCUGGUAGUGGGGGAUAACGUCCGGAAACGGGCGCUAAUACCGCAUACGUCCUGAGGGAGAAAGUGGGGGAUCUUCGGACCUCACGCUAUCAGAUAAGCCUAGGUCGGAUUAGCUAGUUGGUGGGGUAAAGGCCUACCAAGGCGACGAUCCGUAACUGGUCUGAGAGGAUGAUCAGUCACACUGGAACUGAGACACGGUCCAGACUCCUACGGGAGGCAGCAGUGGGGAAUAUUGGACAAUGGGCGAAAGCCUGAUCCAGCCAUGCCGCGUGUGUGAAGAAGGUCUUCGGAUUGUAAAGCACUUUAAGUUGGGAGGAAGGGCAGUAAGUUAAUACCUUGCUGUUUUGACGUUACCAACAGAAUAAGCACCGGCUAACUUCGUG
rnacentral:rRNA from 1 species